rnacentral:rRNA from 1 species
CCUACGGGGGGCAGCAGUCGAGAAUCAUUCACAAUGGGGGAAACCCUGAUGGUGCGACGCCGCGUGGGGGAAUGAAGGUCUUCGGAUUGUAAACCCCUGUCAUGUGGGAGCAAAUUAAAAAGAUAGUACCACAAGAGGAAGAGACGGCUAACUCUGUGCCAGCAGCCGCGGUAAUACAGAGGUCUCAAGCGUUGUUCGGAGUCACUGGGCGUAAGGCGUGCGUAGGCUGUUUCGUAAGUCGUGUGUGAAAGGCGCGGGCUCAACCCGCGGACGGCACAUGAUACUGCGAGACUAGAGUAAUGGAGGGGGAACCGGAAUUCUCGGUGUAGCAGUGAAAUGCGUAGAUAUCGAGAGGAACACUCGUGGCGAAGGCGGGUUCCUGGACAUUAACUGACGCUGAGGCACGAAGGCCAGGGGAGCGAAAGGGAUUAGAUACCCCGGUAGUC